GAGGAGGGUGGGAGCCUCGGGACUGGAGCUAACUGUCUGUCCCUUUUCAUGCCAGCGUCAAAGGGAGGCUGUUUGGACACACCGAUUACUCACAACCUCCCCCUUUUGUCUGCCAGCCCAGCCUGACUCCUGGAGUUUGUGAAUAGCUCCAUCCAGCCUGGGAAGCGAGCUGGACAGAGCUGGACGGCUGAGCCAGGCCGCACCGGGGAUACCAACAGGCCCAUGCUGCUGUCAGAGCCCACUGCUGGGAUGGGGGGCUGCCGGCCUGGCCUCCUGCCCAUGCUUCUGGCUCUCCUCCGCAUCGCCUGGGCAGAGAUGCAGUCACUCCAGCUGCGGGAAGAGCAGGCUCCGAUGCCUGGAGCCCUGAGCAGGAAGGAGAGUUUCCUGCUCCUCUCCCUGCACAACCGCCUGCGCAGCCGGGUCCACCCCCCUGCAGCCAACAUGCAGAGAAUGGACUGGAGCGAGAGCCUGGCCCAAUGGGCUCAGGCCAGGGCGGCCCUCUGCGGUGCCCCGGCCGCAAGCCCAGUGUCUGCCUCUGGGGCCACCCCGCAAUUGGGCUGGAAUGUGCAGCUGCUGCCUGUGGGCUCGGCAUCCUUCAUCCACGUGGUGGGCUUGUGGUUCGCAGAGGGGCAGCAGUACAGCUACGCGGCAGCGGAGUGUGACCCCAAUGCCACCUGCACACACUACACUCAGCUCGUGUGGGCCACCUCGAGCCAGCUGGGCUGUGGGCAGCAUCCCUGCUCUGGGGCUCAGGCUGAGCUGGAAGCCUUUGUCUGUGCCUACUCUCCCGGAGGCAACUGGGAGGUAAACGGGAAGACAAUCGUCCCCUACAAGAAGGGCGCCUGGUGUUCACUCUGCACAGCCAGCGUCCCGGGCUGCUUCAAAGCCUGGGACCACGCGGGCGGGCUCUGUGAGGUCCCCAGGAACCCAUGUCGCAUGAGCUGCCGGAACCAUGGUCAUCUCAACGUCAGCACCUGUCACUGCCACUGUCCCCCUGGCUACACGGGCAGAUACUGCCAAGUGCGGUGCAGCGUGCAGUGUGUGCAUGGCCGGUUCCGGGAGGAGGAGUGCUCCUGCAUCUGUGAUGUUGGCUACGGGGGAGCCCAGUGUGCCACCAAGGUGCACUUUCCCUUCCACACCUGUGACCUGAGGAUUGAUGGAGACUGCUUCAUGGUGUCUUCGGAGGCAGACACCUAUUAUGGAGCCAAGAUGAAAUGCCAGGGAAAGGGCGGGGUGCUAGCCCAGAUUGAGAGCCAGAAAGUGCAGGACAUCCUCGCCUUCUACCUGGGCCGCCUGGAGACCACCAACGAGGUGACCGACAGUGACUUUGAGACCAGGAACUUCUGGAUCGGUGAGUGCCUGACUGGCUGGGGGUGCAGUGACUGCAGGGGCUGGGAUACCCCACUCUGCUCCAGGAAUUGGGGCCUUGGAAACCCAGAGCACCACAGGAAGGGUGUAUGUGGUGAGGGCUUGGAGCCCAGAACGGGGUCAGUAGUCAGGAGGUGACCCCCUUCCCUGGGAAGAGAGCUGAGGGGAGGGAGAACCGCCAGCGAGUCUGGAAGAGCUAGGAAGGGGGCUAAGGGCUGGGGGCUGGGCAGGCAUUAAGCAGGGAGCCUGGGCUCUGGGUGCGGCCCAGGGAUCCCCAGUAGUGGGGCCAAACUUGGCUGCUGUGGCCCAGGGCUCACCUACAAGACCACUAAGGACUCCUUCCGCUGGACCACUGGGGAGCACCAGUCCUUCACCAGUUUUGCCUUCGGGCAGCCUGACAACCAGGGGUGAGUCUGGGGUGCCUUCCCUCCCAAGCCCACCUUCUCACCCGGGCCUGUUGCUGAGCCUCCCAACAGCACUGAAGAACCACCACCCGGCCUGCUGCCUGGCUGAGCCCUCUGAGGGUCUGGGCCUUCCCUGGUGCCCAAGAAGUCCGGGCACAGCUGGGUGCAGGCACAGUGCUGAGAAGAGGCUCAUCCUUGGCCUCCAUGUAAAAGAGAGAGAACUCAAGAAGGCUUCGUCCGUGCACCGGUCCCCAUCGUCCCCUCAGCUGUUCCUCCUCUCCUCCACCAGCCAUCCACCCCUCCCCCCACCACGCUCCCUCUGUCUGUAUCAAUACACUGAUUCUGGCAUCCAUUAUUUAGCUAUUCGCCCACCUGCACCCAUUCACACACACAUCCACCCACCAGCCAGCCUGUAUUGAGGCCCUUCUGUUUAUGUGGCCCUGCCCUGGUCUUCAAUACCCAGGAAUGCCCAGGGCAGGAGUGACAGGGCUGAAGGUAGUCAGGCUGUGUGGCCACCAAGGGCUCCAAAGACCUCGCCUAGCCCUCCCCCUCCUUGACAGCAGCCAGGCCUAUGUCCCUGGUCCAUCACCUAGAGGAAGUUGGCCUGGUCAGGUUCCCAGGCACACCUUCUCCCAGCUGGGAGGCAGAACGGACAUGGGCUUGUCUGUUCCAGGUCCCCCCACCUCAUUGACUGGUGUGGCUGAGUGCUGGAGGUUUGGCAACUGCGUGGAGCUGCAGGCCUCGGCCGCCUUCAACUGGAACGACCAACGCUG